CUUCAAUAGGCCCCUAAAGGACAAUGCUGCCGGGAGGGGAAGGAAAGGGGGGGGGGGGGAAAAGCGGGCCCGAGUCCCGCCGGCUCUCUCCCGCCUCAACCUCGCGGCGCGGCGGGAGCUGCCCGCACCGCCCCGAGCCGCAGCGCUCAGCCCCGCUCCGCCGCCCGGCGCCGGCAGCGCGCGGCCGAAAGGUCACAGCGGGGCCCGCGCUGCGCUGUCACGGCCGCCCGAGCUCCGGCUCUUCCCGCCCGCUGUGCCGCGCCGCCCGCCCUUCGCCUCUCCCCUCCGGGCGCACCCGGCCCGCGGCGCGGCUCCCCCCGCCCCUCACCUGGCGCCGGGACCCCGCGGGUCGGAGCGGAGCGGAGCGCCGCGGGCGGGGCCGGGCCGGCCGCCAGCCGCUCGCACCGGGGCACCCCGGCCGGGCCCCCGGCCCCGCCUCCCGGCCCUGCCCGCCGCCGGCGCUCGCUGUCACCCCCCGGCCGGCCCCUCUCUCCCCUCCCGCCGCUUCCACUCCCAGCUCCCCCGCCCGGCCCGGGGAGCCGUCCUCCCGCCGCCCGGCCCCGCGGCUCCUCCUCUCGCCGUGCCGCCGGCGCGGGGAGGGAGGGAGCGAGGGAGGCCUCCCCGGCCGGGCCCGGCCCUCGGCGCGGCGGCGGGAACGGAGGCCCCGGGCCCCGUCCUCCCGCCGUCCCGGCCCUGCCCCUCCCGCCACUCUACCCGGGCUUUACCUGCCGUGGCGGCGCGGCGCGGGGCCCCGGGGCCUCUGGCAGCCGGAGGAGACGGCGGACUCCGUCCCGCUGCGGCCGUCCCCGAGUGAGGCGGGCGGGACGGAGCCGGGACCUGCCCCGGGAGGCGUUACGUAAACCGGCGGCGGCGGCGGCUCCCAGCGCCACGGGGAGGGAGGGAGGGGGGGAGGGAGGGGAGAAGGGGGGGGUGGGGGGGGAGGCGGCCGUUCCGUCACCCGGCAACAGGACUCAGCGCCCCGGCGGACCGCGCCGCAGGCCCCGCCCCGUAUCCUUCCGCCCAGAGGGCGGCCCGGAUCCCGCCGCUCAGGCGCGGGGCUGAGGGGAGCAGCGCGCGGGCCGUGAGGGGAGCGGGCAGCCCGUCCGGCUGCAUGGCGGGCAGGAAGGGCGGGGCAGGAGGGGAAGUGUCCCUUUGGCCCGGCUGUGCGCUCCGGCCCCGCCCGCCGGGAGAGCGCCGGGCGCCUGAGGAGAAAAGGGGCGGGAAGAGCCCGGGGAUGGAAUGCGCAGGAGAAGGAAGUGGGGAUAAUGACGGAGUGUCACCGUGUGCGGGCCCUCCGCGGGGCUCGGCGGCUCCGAGGGCACGGAGUGCAAAUAGAGUGGGUUCGGGAGCCGUUCUGAAAAGAAAGGCUGCCUUUGAGAGCCGCUGUCGGGAGCCGCGAAACUUUUAUCCCCGCGGAUGAAGUGCCGGGUUCGUCAGAGCUGUGUACUCACGGAGGGGUAAUGAAAGAGCAACGCUUUUAGCGUGGUGGAUGGAUGAAAAUAGGCCGCUGUGAGACUGAAAAUACGAUGAAGGUGGCACACCGCAGUGCUAAUUAAGUGUCUUAAUUGGGAAAAUAAUAACGCCCUCUCGGAUGUGCAUUGGGUCUGCUCAUUUCUCAGCUGUAUGAGUACACACAGGUGCAAGGAAAGUCAACAUUAUGUAAGAUGCCAAAAACCUUUGCUGGAACGUCGCUCCCUGCUGACAAGAUGAUCCCACACCGGGGUGUGGGCAUUCCGGAGAAUUAAACCUGUGUGUGAAAACACAUCUCAUAGAAACCAUGAACGCAUGCCAAGGUAAUAGCCGCUGCCUCCCCGCCUACAUAUUUAUUUGUGAUACAUGACAGCAGCAUUACGCUUAUUUCUUCUUUAUUUUCAUUUUAGCUAGGGAUUUUUAUUAUUAUUAUUUUGGAUAUUCUUUACCAGGCACCGAAUUUAGUUGUAUGAUUGACUUAGCCAACCAAAUAAACCUAUUUUUAAAGUUUAACGUGCAGGACUGUGUGGCUGCAUGAGCUACUGACGUUGUCCUGAAUGCUGCCGAGGCAGUAAUUGAUGUCAUAUGAACACGGAGUUAAUCAGGGCAGCUUCUUCCAAAUCUUGGGAGUAUUAUGGGAGUGCUCUGAAGAGAAAGCAGCACUUCAAACCCCGUGCUGGAAGAGCAGAGUCAUUCCCUGAGCUAUUUAAUUACUGUUUAACAUAUUUUCUUGUUAAGAAGAGCUGAAACUGAAAACGGAAAAGCUUGGGGAAAAAUUCUGCUGACUGUUUUCUGCUGAGUCACUCCACAGCUUUAUCAAAAGCACUUCACCAACACAGCAAUACAACUUGCGCCAAUCAAAAUCAAAUCUCCUUUUGUUUUCAAGCUCGGAGUCUGAGUUCCCUUUCUCAAGAUAGAAAUAAAAUACAGCAAAAUGUGGGACACCUGCGAUUUGUCUGAAGUGAAAAUUGGCACCACUUUAAAAUGAUCUCCACACAGGCUGCUGAGCAUAUUUUCAAUGUAUUAGCAAUGUAUUUUACAAGUACAAAUCCUCUUACCUUGUUUAACUCUUUCUAUGGCUUUCCUGUGUUAAAAGCUCUGUGGAAGGGCCAAACGCUCUGAUUAUCAGUGUUGUCCUAAUGGAGGAAGUCAGAGCAUGCAAACAAAUGACAGAUUAUUCUGAAUAUUCACAUAGUUGCCGCGUGACGUUUCAAAUCCACAGUCCUGCCUUUGUAGCCAGGUCUCAGGAAUACUGAUAGUGGAUUUUUUUGUUUGCUUGUUGAUUUAUGAUGAGUUUUAUUUUCCUAACAGCCAACCAGAUUCUGGUCUCCCUUUGGCAAGCGCUUCAGAAACAGCUGGUAAUUGACCAUAUGCCGUGCUGGCACCGCUGUGAGCUUAUUUCCCACUUGUCCUCCUGGUCAAUCAGAGCUGCUCCAUGUGCUGCAGGACAGCUGGUCCCUUGGCAUGUGAAGCAGCUAAUGAACUUUUCCUCUGAAAAACCGUGGGGAUAGACAAUGCUGACUCCAAUCAGUGUUGUUUUACUUGCUGAACUGAUAUCAAAGGUGAAGGUUCUCUAAAGGAGCAUUGUGUGACAAUCAAACACACAGCAUGAACAACUGGGUGGGUGUGCACUGUAGGUAACUACGCUUGUUUGGAAAAUCAAAACCAAAUGAUCUGUGCUGAAAAGAAUGCUGAACAGACGCUGAGUGACUGAUAGAUCUGUGCCUUUAGCUGUCAGCCUCAGCAAGUACCACUGUUUCCCUUUUUCAUUCUGACCCCUGCUGGAUAGGGUCUCCAAUGAAUUUCUUAGAAAUUUAUAAAUUUCACCAUGUAAGAUUUUCUCCUAUUCAGGUUCGUGUUAAAGAAGGAAUUGCACAGCAGUUCAUCAGUACAGUAUGCGGGGCUUAUAAGCAUUUACUCUCAGACAUCCGUCAUACUUCCCUGCAAUUGGUCAGUUUGUAAUAUUCCUUAAAAUCUCCUGCUAGGUGCAAUAAAAAGCUGAAUUUCCUUGAGUAGGGCUUCUAUAUCACUUAACUUUGUAAUUCCUGAGAACCAUUUAGUUGACAGUCCCCUAUUGUUCACACUUCGUUAACAGUUCAUGUAAAAUACUUGAUAGAAACAAUCUGCCCAUUCAGCAUUUUAGAAAUGGAGAUGGAGCAACAUCCACGAGGGAGCAAAUGUAGUUUAAAAACAACAACAAAAAAUCAACUAAGUGUGCAGGAUCUAAAUCCAAACAUAUACAUACAUUUAUUGAUAAUUUUAAAAUCCAGAAAAUGGACCAUCAAAAGAAAUGCAAUGCAAGGAACAUCCAUCACAUAAUGUAUUUUUUGGCUAUCAUGAUGUACUGCAUAUAAUUACCUUUUUGAAACUACUUUGCUUAAUUGCAUGAAGGCUUGCAUAACUUUUUUAGUACUCUUCACAGUCAAUUUCAGGUUUUGAAUGAAGAGCCAUGCAGAAUGUUCACACCUCCCAGAAGUAAUAACUAAAUUCAAAUAACACAUUCAGAAGGCAUUCCUCAGCACCAGAUCAGGUUGCAGAUUCCUUUUUACUGAUCCUUCCUUCCUAAUAAUACCACUGCACGGUGUAAAAGCUAGCUGGAAUUACCCACAGCAGCAGGGGAGCAGGGGGCCACUUUCUGGUUAGCAUCAAGGACCUCAUCUACAUGAAUGGAGAACAAUGUAAAUGUUAGUCAGAUCUGUGUUAGGCCACUCAGACCGUUUUACUUUCAGAUUUUGCUGUAACAGGUUUCAGUAUUAUUAAAAGGGGCAUAGUAGCCUGGUUAGUUGAGAAGGCCUGAGUCAUUUGAAAAAUCAGUUUCACAAUUCAAAGAGUUUUUUGCUUUGUUUCAUUUUGUUUUUCCAAUUUAAUUCAAUUACGUUAAUUAUAAUUAAUUAAUUACAGUAAUACCUUGAGGAGCCUUCAGGAAGUCCAAAAUAAUACACGCACAGGCCUCUGUCACAGCACACUGCUUUGUGUGCAGAGCAGAGCACCUGAAGUCUACCGUAAGAAAUAUUCAGAACAGAUGUGAAAGGACUGUGAUAAUCGCCUACGAUGCUUUGGCCAAACAGCCAAGCAGUACAAAAGAUAGAGAAAAUGAAAGCUUUAUCCUGCGCAAUGAAUGUAAAAUCCCAAGUGCCCAGACAGAAGCCUCUGAAACAAUAAAGCGAGGAACAGCUUUCACUUGUGAUGUAAUGGAAAGAGCACAGAAGUAUAGUGUUAUAAAAGUGAAAUAAUUUUCACAAGUGAUGAAAUACAAAGGAAGUGUUACAUGCGAUAGCAUAUCAAGGGCAAUCACCAUAAGAUACAUCAACAUCUCAAAAUCUGAUCUUAUUUUGGUAGUGCAUAUGUAGAAAAAUUCGAUGUCAUAAUGAGAUACUAAUUCAAUUGCAUUAUAUUUGUUGCUACAUCAGCUAUUGUCAAGCCAUUAAGUUAAUUACAUUUUAAGUUUUAAACUAGAUGAAACACAUUAUGACAUCUGUUUUCUCCUAUUUACUACAGCAUUCCCGAAUUACUAUGUUGGAAAUGUCUGAGGUUUUGGCAGCUUGCUGUCUUACAAAUAGUCCAUGAAUACAAUUAACCAUCCUUGAGUAGCCUGCAGCAUCAGCACCCAGUCCUCGCUUUACCCAUCAGAAAUAUAAUUAUUGCUCCACAGCAAUUCCACCAAGCAUUUUUUCUUUUCAGAUGCUGACCGUAUUUUCAGUCAGUGAGCAUGCUGAGAACAGGGUUGGUCACAUCACACUGGCGACCUAUCUGGCCAUGGGUUUUGGAAUGAAUAUAUUAGAAGAAUAGACUAAGUGGUUCAGUCCUUAUUAACCGCUUGUGUGAAAUGAAAACUGAAAUAGACACAUGAAAGUAUAUCAGGUUCUUCAAGUACUUACUGAGAUAUAACACCUGCAUUUCCAAUAUUGUAACUACAACAAGGAGAGCUGUCUAGUUUGUGUGAGUGACUGCAGGGCUGUCAGGCUGAAAUAGAGUUGGGCAUCCUGAGAGAAGGAAAGCACAUUUUUCUGCCAACAAGUAAAUAGUAUUUUGAUACUUUUCAUCUACACCAAUAUGCUAUCUAAAAUAUCUUUUGUAAUUGUUUGCCUUGAAAUUCCAACUUAAUUACAUUUAGAUGCUCAUUUGAAGAGCUACUCAUCAGAACUUGUUAAAAGAAGCAAAACUAUCUGACUUUCCAAGGCCAUUCUGUAUUUUGUACUUACAUUAUCAAGGUGUUUUUCCUGAAGAAAGUGCUUUCCACUGAGAUGAAAACUCUUCAUUUUCUGCUUUCAGUAGGAUUUUAUGUUGAAAUUGAGGUGUCUUUUGAGUUUGAUAUUGUUUUAGUAUUGUAGUCCUGAGAGACAAAGCAGGCAUAGCUUUAACUGCCCAAAUGACAACUCUGUCUGGUGUUAAAAAACCUACACGUUUAUUUGGCAUUUGAAGAUGUCAUUAAAUAAAGGGACGGCUAAAUCUCCAGAUCCAUCCAGUCUUUCCAGGCAUAGGGAAGAUAAUCAUUUCCCCUACCAAAGGAGCAGUUGUUUUUCUUUGAGGCUGACUGUAGACCCAAAUAGAGCUAAAUCAGAAGCACAUGAUGACCAGGUAACACAAGGAGAAGCUAUUAUAGUCCAAGUUGAUGCCAUGCAGGUGUAUCAGAGAACACUAGAUGCCAGAUUUGGGUCAGAACUACAGAUCACAGAGAGGAAUAUAAUCCUAUGAGAUGGAUCACUUAGGCUUUAUUUUAUUAAAGGUAUAUGUCAAAUACAGCGUGUUUCUCAGAACAGAUAUUUUCUUCCUAAAUGUCAGUGGUAAGAAUUGUCAGUCAGUUGUUUCAUGGCUUGUUGCAAUAUUACAGUUUUUGAAGUUUUUCUUCCUGGGAGCCUCUUUCUCAGAGGCAAGUUCUUCUGUAUAGUCAACAGUACUUCACUGCACAGUUUUUCAGGUAGGAAAUGAAAUCCUUAAGAAACAAGCAGAGAACGCCAUUCAUCACCACUUUGCAUCGAAGUUAUUUCCAUAUCUGGAACUGAUGUGCUGCUGUGCCAGGAAAGUACUGUAUGAUUUCUUUCACAGCCAGUUAAAAAUUGUAAGACCUUGUAAAAAGGGAUUCAGUGCACCUGUAUGAGGCACUGGCUGCUUUGUCCUGAUUGCUUAGGGCUGCCAGCUGACUCAGGACUCCCAUAUACUGACAUGGAGUUCUGCAUGGAGGUCUUCAGUGGAAAAUGCUGUUGAAAUCACCUGAAGUGUGAGCAGGUUUGGCUUUGCCAGAAGUAUCUCUGGCCACCAAUACAUUUUUAAGAGUAAAUAGGAUAAUGAAACUCCCAAAACAGACUCAAACUCCCUGUCUUCCAAUGCUAAAAAUACUUUUUUGAAAUGAGAAGUCUUUGGGAUUGAAACUCUGAUGCUGGUUGUAUGCGUGCAGUUUAGUCAACUCCAUAAUGCAAAAUGUAAAUAUUAUUCCUAUCUCGUGAGUGAGCUACUGAGAGUUACUGGGAGGGCAGAUAUGGGCCUCAUCCGAAGCUAUUAUCCAGGCUGCUGGUGAGAGCAGUCUACUGGAAGAGUUCUCUCCAUGGGCAGAACAUGACUGCUAGUGCCAAAUGGAAGCACUAAAUGGAUUUUGAGCUAAACUCAAUGCUGCUCAUGGAUACUAGAUGCGAGAAUGGGCUCUCUGGAGAUGGUUUUAGACACUUCUUUCUCAAUUACAACUUUAAGAGUUCAUUUUGGGAUACAUAUAAGUAUGUAAGUAAGGAAGACUGUAGAAAAUUUUGCAGUCCAACAUGGAAGCUAGCAAAUUUUUAGCUCUUCCAUGGAUAAUAGAUGACCUGAAUAGCUGUACUGCAUUUUAGGCACCAUGCAGAUUGAACUAUUAUGAAGCUGUAGGAAGACCAGCAAGUAGUGACAGGCUUUUAUGAGUGAAUUGUGUUUGUUUUCUCUUCUUAAAGACAUCAUGCACAUUUGGAAAAGUAUGGAAGGCAGCUUCUUCCCAUACAGUCCCUCAGCUUUCUGAGUGAGGGUAAACUUCCAUCGUUUAGAUCCACCUUCUUGAGAUAUCUGAUACGUUUUCGGUGCCUCUGUGUGCUACUUCUUCUCUGAAUGAGGUUAACAGUAUGUAUAUUCGAGUAGUUUUCAAAUUCCUUGUUUCAUAGAAUAAGCACCAACUGCCUGGAAAUGUAUUGUGCAGAGAAAGUAAGGCAUUCAGCUGCAGUUUCUUUUCAGCAUACUCAUUAACUGACUCUUCUAGACAGUCACUGUCAUUACUUAUGACAAGGGCGUUUCAGAAACUUGUAUGAGCUAGUGGCAGAGAGAAAUACUUCCUGAAUACUUUGAAAGUACUGCCCCAUUUUACAAAGAAGGCCUCAGCAAUAGCUAAGCUGAAAUUUAACAACGGAUUUCACUGGGGCCGGGGGUCUCAUUCAAAAUUAAGACAAGUGCUUAUGUUUUGUUCUCAAAUUUUGAGUGAAUGAUUGUGUCAACUAUUCUGCUUGCCCCAGUUACCUGAGAUGAUAACCAGCUUUCAUGGCUUGUUACAUUCAUUUUUUUACCCGUAGAUGCAGAGAACAUUUUACCAGCACAUUUUCUUUUUCCAGCUAACCGUCUCAUCUCAGGGAUUCACCUGACGUAUGUCUCAUAGGAUGUAGCCACAUUUGCAGUUUAUGCAGAGGCAGGUUAAAUCAGCAUACUUCUUUGCUUGUAAUCUUGAUUUGGGGAAGGGGGAUUUCUUCUAAUUCUGUAAUGAUUAGGUUUUCCAGUGCGCUCCUCUUAUUUUCUGUGGUGGUAGGUUUUGUAAUGUCAGCUGAUAUUAUAUUCCUUUGGCACACCUAUCAUUUGCAUGCGCAUAAGGCACUGAAGGUGCUCAUUAUUUUCAGCUAGCAAGUAAUCUUGUUCCCACUUAAUUUGAAAUGCAUUGUUCUCUGUAUCCUAAUUUUGACUUUUACAGUUAUUUGCCUCAUUGCAUUUGGAUUGUACUGCUCCAUGUUUUAAUACAUCAUAUUCAAAAUCUGCGAGAUAAAACAUCACAAUAAAUAGCUACGCAGAUAUAAUUGCAGUGGACACAUUACGGCAGCUAGGGAGGUUAUCAUGAUUCAUCACCCAUCAAGUAUACUUCAUCAUGGGCACAGUGGGCAGUGCAGUACUGCUCCAUUGAGUGGAAGCUCAGCAGGCUCUCAGCAUCCCCAGGGCUGAAUGGAGAGGGCUGUACCAACACAUUUCUGCACUCACUCAACAGCAGCAGAGCUCUCUACAGACAGGCUCUUGUGCUAAUAUUACUGCAGCAGCAACCUAUUCUCAGAAUGAGUUGGGAAGGUUCAUCAGAGGUUCACGCACCUGCGUUCUCCACUUUUUUAAUGCUGGAGGACAAAUUUGUAUGCCAGUCUCUGCUUGCCAAGUGAUGGCAAACCACUCCUUCACGUGGAAGCAGCAACUUCUGCUGAGAUUCAUGCACCUCCCAAAUUAGUCAUUUCCUUUCAUCUCCUCUCCAAGACUGUAUGAGAUGGUAAUGAUAGUAUGAGAGGAAUUGUCCUGUGGGAUGUAUUUGGCUUGCACAACACCCACAGUAGUGUAUCAUAUUUGCAGACAGUAUCAGUUGCUGUUUGCAGGGGCUAAAUGUCUCAGGAAGAGAUGAACAUAAUGCCAACAAAAGAAAUAAGCUCAGUAAUUUAUCUAAUUUGGAAAAUUUAACGAUUUCAGCUAUAAAUCCUCAUUUGUUCUUGCAUAAGGGUUGUUUCAUUCACUUUCAAUCCUGUUUCCAUAUGACAUCAGAUAAUCAAAAAAGCAACUGCAAUGUAAGAGAGUCCACAAAAAGUCCUAGCGGAAUAUUGUUUUUGAAUAGCUUGCUCUGUAAGUAAAGGAUUAAAUGAAAAAUAUAAUCUGCAUUUAGUUUUGCAGUAAAUAACAUGCCCAGUAAGUCUCAGUGCCUGUGAGCUCUUUGGGGGAAGGACUGUGUGAGCUCUGCCACAUUCGGAGCCUGUAACAUAUGAAAACCAUAAUGAGGUUCAAGGAGGCCAAAUGCAGGGUGCUGCACUUGGGUCAGAGCAAUCCCAGGUAUUUAUACAAACUGGGAGAAGAUCUCCUUGAGAACAGCCCUGCGGUGAAGGACUUGGGGGUCCUGAUAGACGAGAAGCUGGACAUGAGCCAGCAGUGUGCGCCUGCAGCCCGGAAGGGCAACUGUGUUCUGGGCUGCAUUAAAAAAGGGGUGGCCAGCAGGGAGGGGGAGGUGAUUGUGCCCCUCUACUCAGCUCUUGUGAAGCCCAUCUGGAGUACUGCACCCAGCCCUGGGGCCCCAUACAGGAAGGACGUGGAGCUCUUAGAGCAGGUCCAGAGGAGGGCCACUAAGAUGAUCAGAGGGCUGGAGCACCUCUCCUUUGAGGAAAGGUUGAGGGAACUGGGCUUGUUUAGCUUGGAGAAGAGAAGGCUCCAGGGAGACCUCAUUGUGGCCUUCCAAUACUUGAAGGGAGCAUAUAAACAGGAAGGGGAAUGGCUGUUUACAAGGGUCGACAGUGAUAGGACAAGAGGGAAUGGUCUUAAACUGAGACAGGGGAGGUUUAGGUUAGAUAUUAGGAGGAAGAUUUUCACACAGAGGGUGGUGAUGCACUGGAACAGGUUGCCCAAGGAGGUUGUGGAUGCCCCAUCCCUGGAGGCAUUCAAGACCAGGCUGGAUGUGGCUCUGGGCGGCCUGGUCUGGUGGUUGGUGACCCUGCCCAUAGCAGGGGGUUGAAACUCAAUGAUCAUUGUGGUCCUCUUCAACCCAGGCCAUUCUGUGAUCCUAUGAUUCCUAUAUAUGUUUCUUGCCUUCAGAAUUCUGCCAUGUUAAUCAGAGACUUCUGGCAAGCACAGAAUCACAAUAUUACAGCCAAUUUUUUCAAUGUAGGAAAAUGUCAGAGAUUAGACUACACAGAGAUGACUCUAUGGUUAAUCUACACAAAUCCUUUAGUCCUCCAGGAAGAAAAAAAUACUGGUUGCCAAAUUUGUUGCACAGGUCCGUAAAAAUAAUAGCAGAAAUCCAAAAAAAGUACGUGUAUUUGUUGGUAUAUAUUCAUGUCUAGAAAUUAUGCUGGUAUUGCAGAUAGAGGUGCUGAAUGUUAUGCCUUGGCAUUUCUCAGUAUACUUGUACAUCAUUUCGUGCGUGUUUCAAGAGAUUGACUGAGGUCUUGAAGGUGAAUGAUAAGGGAGUGUGAGUUGUGGAGCACUAAGAUAAUGCAGUCACCUGCAGGGUAUGAAAAGGGUGGAGCUAAUAAGCUUAGUAUGUCAGACCUCACAAAAGUUGAAUAUGUAAGCUGUCUCCCUGUCAUUUAAUAAAUUUUUCAGUGUCUCACGAUCUCUUAGAUCUCCUUUGGUGGACUGCCUGGAGUCUGUGCCCCAGUCAUAGUGAAAUACUGGUUUAUGAUAAUAAAUAUUCCUUCAGGAAUGCAUAUUGUUAAGUUUCUCUUUUAAACACUGAAGUGUACACUGAACCUUAAAUGUGUGCUGAGAUGUCCUUGAUUUCUCUGGGAUUUAAUUACAGGUUACAGUGUUUUCCUGAGAUAUGGCCAGGAAGAUCUACAAUUUACAACUAAUGGAGCAGGAAGAGCACAGGCUGUUAAGGUCCUAGUCUGCUCUUGUCAUCCACAUACAUGUGUUUACAAAAUGAUUUUCCUAUAAAUCUGAGCAAAAUUAGAGCUUUUAAAAAUGAGUUCAUAAUUUACAUAGGGUUUUCAGAUAAUAACACAAGACAAGAUUAAGGGAUACAGGCAGGAAAUUUGUAAGGGAGAGAAGGGAGUAGUACAUCAGAGCCUGUAUACGAACUUCCCUUACAUGAGAAGUCAUUGAUUUUGGAGAAUUAAUUCAAACUUAUCUCUAUAGCAAACGUGAUUUGGAAUGGCCAGAAGAAGCCAGGAUGAUAUCAGAAAGGCAAUUUAUAAAACAAAAGCUUUUAAUAUAUUUUGUGACCUGUAUCCUGGCUCAGUAGAACUGGUAUUGAUAAAGCCAAUGUGGCCCGGGUUAUGGGCACUCAAAACUAUACCUUAAAUAUUAGAAAGAUUUGUCAGAACUUGCAGAAUAAACCGUUUCUAUACCUAGGAAAUUGAUGUUUUAUAGAAAAUAAUCCAUUAUUGCAGUUCAAAAUUAAGUGUCAUGUAAAGAGAAUUUCUUACAUGUACCAAUAGUUUGGGAAAUAUAAAAAAGGAGAGGAGUAGUCCAUUAUGAAAUAAAUUAAAUCAUUUGACAAAAAUUAACAUUAUUGGAAUGUAUCCCUUAGAUUCUUCUCUGUGCUGUAUCAACAAAAAUAGGAUAAUAUAAAUAUUUCCAAUAUUAAAAAAGAUAAAAUUAAUACAUAUCAAUUUAGGUAGUGUAUACAAAACAGCAAUACCUGUUGAGAAAUAGAGGAGUUUUUGAGAGCAAGAGUAGCUAGCCCCCCACAUCUAAUGCCCCAAAUCUGGGACCAGUUUCUGUUUCCUUUAUACCAUUUUAGCUCUAUUUUUAUUUGAUCCUUUGCAGAACUAAAGCAGUAGAAUGAAGGCCAAAUUGGUUCUUCCAUGAUCUUGCAGCCACAAAACAGGCUGCUUGCUUGCCUGGAACUUAUGUUGGAGAACCACUGAUAAGUUUUGAUCCUGAAAAUAUUUUCACAUCCUGUGAGUAGUAGCAGAUUUCCUAGGAAGGGGCAGCAAGGAACAGUGGACUCCAAAUUUUGGCACGGUUUGUUAGAUCUCACAUCUGUAUACUUUUUUCUCAUUCCCAAGCUUGCAGUACAUCCUUGUCAGCAGCCAGGCAGUGUGUGGUGUAUUCGGUGCACUACUUGGUAUGACACACCUGGUUGUGGUGUCACAAAAAGGGUUACUCAGUGAUUCAGCCUGACGGAAUUACUGGUCGCAAUUGGCAGUGAAGUUAUUCAUAGCCAUUUCUCUUUGAGUAUGUAAUGAGGGGAGACUUCAAAAAUACGUGAUGUUGCUGAGCAGAUCAGUUGUGUCCAUUUGGGUGCUUACAGACAGUAAAUUGGAAGCAGUCUGUAUGAAAUUGUCUGUUGCUGGUUUUUUUUGUUUUAACAAGGAUUUUUAAAGAAAAUAGUACCUCAAGCUUAAAAGUCGUGUUCAAGAAUAUGGAUUUUUGAACUUCAUUUUGAAAUCUGAAUUCUGAUUUGGAUCCGAAAUUAUCAAAUUGCCUCAUCAAGCAGAGAUGAAGCUUCUCCCUUGGAUGGUGGCUUGUUGCACCAGAAAAGAAGGUACUGAAGCUAACAGAAAUUCCACCCAGCUGAUAUGUAACACUUGUUUGUCAUCACUAAUCCUCAGAGCGCUCUACAAACUGGCCUUCUUUCAUCCUAUAAAGGGACAACCAGAGAGGUGAAGGGAUACAGUUGUGUACCAAGGACUCAGAGUGGGCCGAAGGCGGUGCCCAGCCUCCUCGGCCUGCUGCUGCGGCCUGGUCAACAGCGCCAUGCUGCUCCUCCAUCCCCAUGGGCACACAAACACCUUUAGCAAACAUUCAUCAGCUUUCCUCCAUAAUACUGUGUGUCUGUAGUUCACAUGCAUGCAUAUUCUCUUGCUUUCUCUGACUGGAAGAAUAAGGAAAAAAUCCCUUCAAUUUUCAAGAUGAGAAAGUGGAGCAUUACAGUAAAAUUAGCCCUGGCAGGAACAUUUAUCCCUCAGUGACCUUUUGCUGUUUUCUUUAAAUGAGCAGCUCCUCUCCCUCCGGUCUUAGUGCUUCCCACUUUGUGCCUGUUCAAAGAAUCAGUUCAGACUGAUUCAAGCACUUGUGCAGGCAGCAGCCAG
rnacentral:lncRNA from 1 species